CCUACGGGAGGCUGCAGUGAGGAAUAUUGGUCAAUGGGCGCGAGCCUGAACCAGCAAAGUCGCGUGAAGGAUGACUGCCCUACGGUUUGUAACCUUCUUUUAUAGAGGAGUAAAGUGAGCCACGUGUGCCUUUUUGUCUGUACUUUAUGAAUAAGGAUCGGCUAACUCAGUGCCAGCAGCCGCGGUAAUACGGAGGUUCCGAGCGUUAUCCGGAUUUAUUGGGUUUAAAGGGAGCGUAGAUGGGUUGUUAAGUCAGUUGUGAAAGUUUGCGGCUCAACCGUAAAAUUGCAAUUGAUACUGGCAGUCUUGAGUACAGUUGAGGUAGGCGGAAUUCGUGGUGUAGCGGUGAAAUGCUUAGAUAUCACGAAGAACUCCGAUUGCGAAGGCAGAUUACUAAACUGCCACUGACAUUGAUGCGCGAAAGUGUGGGGAGCAAACAGGAUUAGAUACCCCAGUAGUC
rnacentral:rRNA from 1 species